GUUUAACAAUGACAUUUCUGGAAAACAAAUUACAAAUGACAUUUCAAAGUUUAUCUUGCAUUAUUAACAUUUUCUCCUUCACUUUCUUUAGUCUAGACAAUCAAUAAAACAAUAAAUUGAGAGCAUUUGCUGAUUUUGGAGGUAUAAAGGCUCACACUGAAAAUUAGCAAUGAAUUCAAGCUGACUCUUGCAUAUUCCUCCUGCUAAUCCUGCUCCUUUGACAACAGUGACUUCAUGACAACAUACUUUUCAUAUCAGACUUCUUGCUACUUGUCUGACAUAAUCAAUUGAUUGGGUAUCUGCUUUCAUUCUUACCUAUAGCUUUUCUUGCCACCAAGAUCUCCAAGAUUUGAAUCCACAGAAUAUAUUUCCAUCUCCUCCUGUUGCUCCUUGAAAUAGUAAUGCUAACCCUCUAGGUGUUUUUAGAGAGGAAUUAUUGAGUUCCAGCAAUAUGACCGAAUAGAAGGUAUUUAGCUUCCUCUUAUUACCUAAAAAUCACUAGAAAUGAAUCAAAUAUAACAAUAACUAAAAUAGGAGAAAGGUAUGACUCAAGAUAAGUCACUGAUAUCCACUGACUUGGCUCUAGAUCCAACCCUGUGUUGGAAGUGGGAGAGAAGCCAUUUAGCAUCACUUCCUCUGCUAGCAGAGGCCCAGGCUCAUGUGUCCUGUCCCUUUGUCCCAAAUAAAUAUUCAGUUUUCAUCCUUCAUGAUCUUUUUGUAACUGUUGACACUAUUGACUUAUAGAUGCCAUCCUCAAAUCUUUAUUCGUACUCCAUAUAUCCAAAUUGUUUCCAAAUCCUAUUGCUUCUACCUUCAAAGCAAGUCUUGGAUAUGGCUUUCCUCUUCUGCCAUUGUUGCCAUGCUAAUGUGGGCCCCUAUUACCUAAUUCUUGAACUGUUGCAAUAGUUCGCUGAUUGGUUUCCCUGCCCAAAAUAUCUUUCCAUUCAAGUUUAUCUUCCAUUCAGUGGUCAAAUUGAUUUUUAAUCAGCACAGAUUCGAUCAUAUCAUGCCCUGAUUCCAUUGUUUUCUGGUGAAAACUGGUUGACUCAUUAAGUAAUAUUAAGCUUUGAUGGGAUGUUAGAUAAUUUAGAAUAUACCUUUAUUUGACUCAUACUGUAGAUAAUCUUUCUUUUUAAAUUUUAUUUAAAAAAUAUUUUCCCAUGAUUCCAUGGUUCAUUUUCCCUCUCUCCCUUCUUCCCUUCCCACUCCUCAAGCUGACAAGCAAUUCCUCUGGGUUAUACAUGCCAUACUAUAGAUAAUAGGGCAAAAUCUCCCAUUAGCCUCAUUCUGGCUCGUUGUUAUCAAAUACAGUUUAGGUGGCAUAGUGGCCACACAGAGAGAUUUCCCCUACUAUCAACUUUCCCUUGUGAGUAGCAAUAAAGUUUGUUAAAGCACAGUCUGUGUGGGAUCAUGCUUUUCAUUUGACUUCUUGUCUGCCAUACUUCAUAAACUCCAGUGGUUUCCUGUAACCUGAAGGAUCAAAUAAAAAAUCCUGGUUGACUUUUAAAGCCUUUUACUAACUGACCCCUUCCUAUCUUUCUAAUAUCCUUGUACUUUGUUCCCUUCCACAGGCUCCAUGUACCAAUACACUGGCCUCAUUGUUGCUUUCUCUACAAGACACCCCACCUCCUAACUAGAUGCUUUUUUCAUGAUUGUCCCUCAUGUUGGGAAUGCUUUCCCCCUCCUCAACCCUGUCUCCUGGUCUCCCUUACUUCCCUUGAGAUUCAAUUCAAAUCCCACUUUUUCCAAGGGGAAAGGAGAAAAGAUAUAGCCCCUGAAGGAUCCAAUAUAGAACUCUGGUUUUUAAAGAAAAAUCUCAUCAAUAGUGAUUUAGAGAAUUUUUUUCUUUAUAUGAAAAAUCUAUCCACCUCCUGCCGCCGUGCCCCCCACCCCCAAGUAAUCUGGGGCAGAGAGUAUGGGAAGAGAGUGAUAUAGCUGCUUAAUCCCUUUCUACUUUUCUACUUUCCUUAUGCUUUACUUUUUGUUUUUUUAAACUUUGUAUACACUAUCAUCCAUAAUGUAAAAAGGGAUUCUUUAUUCCUUUUUUAAUUUAAUGGGGGACCUGGAGGUGCUCUUACCAUAGAGAUGUGUAAGGAUUAACAAGCCCAUAGUGGCAGGAAGUAGAAACCAUAGAGACAGGAAGUGAAGUAGGAGAAGGGGAUAAAAGGGGGAGGGGUCAGUUACUUGGCAGUUGCAGCAAAGUUGGUUGUUGGUAGUGUGUUGGGUUGGUGGUUGGUGUUUAGUUUCUGGAAUAUAAAAGGUGGGUCUGAGAUUACUGAGAGGACUUUUGGGCAUUAGCCUUUAGAGGGCUUUUUGGCUUUUGGUUUAGGCUGUUAUGGUUUUUUUUCCUUACUUGAACUUUUUGGAAGGUGGCUGGUCUUUGUUGACAAGACCUAAUUGGGAUUGGAUUAAACACUGAUUGGUUUGGUUUUGAUUGGGCUAGGUUGGAUUGGAACUUUGUAGGGUAGUUGUUAGUUAUAGGUAGAUAUAGGUAGUUAUAGGAUUACUAGUAUAGACAUUAUGGAAUUUUCUUUCUCUACCUCUUUCCUAUAUUUCUCUCCUUUACUAUAUUUAUUUAACUAUAAUCUUUUAUUGUCUCUAUUUUAAUUAAACUAAAUUGUUAAUUGUUAAAAGCUGCUAGAUGUUUUCUUUGAUUUAAAGGGAUAAUAUUAGUUUACAACUGUACUAUAUUCUCAUUAAAACUUAAAUGAUUAAAAGCUGUGCUCUUUAUUUUAUCAAAGCUCCUAAUUUAACCUUACAAGUGACAGUGGCACACUGCAAGUAUAUAAUUGUUUACAUAUUGUUUCCUCCUUUAAAAUAUAAACCUCUUACUGGUAGGGACUGCUUUUGCUUUUCUUUGUAUCCUAGGGCUUAGCACAGAGCCUGGCACAUAGAAAAUGCUUAAUAAAUGCUUGCUAACUCAACUUGGGGGCAUAUAGUGGGCACAGUAGAGAUAGAGUGCCAGGCUUGGUGUCAGAAAGUCUCACCUUCCUGAAUUCACAUCUGAUCUCUGACAUUUCUUAGUUGUGUGAUCCUGGAUAAGUCACUUCACUCUGUUUGCCUCAGUUUCCUCCUCUGUAAAAUGAGCUAGAGAAGGAAAAGGAAAACACCUCCAGUAUCUUUGUCAAGAAAACCCCAAAUUAAGAGUUGAAUACAACCGAGAUGAUUGAAUAAAACUUGACUUUCAUCAAUCCACAUUGCCUUUCCCCAGGCCAGGCCCUCUUUUCAAUGCCAACCUAUUUCCUAUUUCCUGGGAGGUGAAAAACAACCAAAAUCACAUAAUUUGAGAGUUGAAAGGCAUCUUAGCAGCUAUCUAGCCCAACCCAGACAUGAAAGGAAUUGCUGUCAUUACCCAUCAAGUAUUUGCUCAAACUUUGAAGUCCUCCAAAUUAGAAGAGCUCAUAUGCUCUAAGGUAACCCAUCCUACAUGAUAAAUGACAGUUUUUCAAACACUUGAAGAAAAUAUGUUGUGUCUUCCUCAGUUUAAACUGGAGUUUACUUAGUAAAAUUUCAUUAUCUUUCCCACUAAUCCCUCUUCUCACCAACCCUGCCACCUUCCCUUUUUAGUGUAGACAGUACAUAUUCAAAUUGUCAGAUUCAAUCAAUCUCACUUUUGCAGCAUCAAUAUCACUUCAUGCCCAAAAUACCAUGCCCCCCAAAGUACCAAAUUACAUGCCCCCUGAAAAUCUUGAAAUUUCUCAGACUUGUGAAUGUUAAAAAUUUCCACAUUGAGGAAUCCUCCAUUGGAACAAAUUCCCUACUGGAAACAUUCCCCGUUUUGAUGUGAGAACUUGCCAGGAUCAGAAAUGGGAGGACCUCUACUCCACCCGUACUUAAGACUGCUUUAGGGGAGAAAACUCCUUGCUAAAAAAUGAAAGUACUUGGACCCGUGCUUAUGAUGAGGCAUGGAGUUCUUUGAGCCAUGCCUGUUUUUAGAAUUGAUACAAUGGGAUGCUAGGUACCUAAAAGGUCUGGCAGGUUUUCUCUUGAUGGGAUUAGUCGACUCAGCUGUGUUUUCUCUGGUUCAGACUUACUGAGGGGAUUAAUCGACUUAGCUGGAAUUCAGAUGGGCUGUCUUUUAGAAAACAUCUAUGGUGAUUGGUGGAUGGAAGAACUUAGGGGAGGUGUCAUAGGAAAAAACCCGCUAUAUAAGAAAAGGAAUCUCUUGAGCAAGAGAGGCUUGGAGAUCCAUGAAGAGAGAUUUCUUGGAGAUAGAUCCUUGGAGAUAGAUCCUUGGAGAGAGAUUCCUUGGAGAGAGAUUCCUUGGAGAUAGAUGCUGGGAGAUAGAUCCUUUUGGAGGAGGCCCUUUGAAGAUCUCUUGAGAAGAAGUCCCUUGGGAGACUGACUCUGGCUGGAACUCUCUCUGGGGAGACUCUGUUCCCCAGACAUCCUUGCUUAAGACAAAUCUUGUGGUUGGGAAGACUAUCUCUCUGCCAGAAAACAGUCCAGGAUUCUGUUAAAUCCAUCUUAACAAAGACUAGAAAAAUGCAAAUAGAAACUGAAAAAUGUAACCCCAGAUAGUAAUAAAUUGUAGGCUUGGAUGUGUUGAAAAGUUGAAGAGGAACAGGCAGUUGGGGUUCAUUACUGUGCAAAGUUGAACGAGCUCCUGCAGCAAUAAGACUUUGUAAUGCUCAUGCUGACACCCCAGACUCAUAAGACGACUGGAAAGAGGGAACUAGAACUAUGAAGUCUACUGCUAUUCUUAUAAACAUUGGCAGGAAUGAUAUAUACUAGAAGAUAUGCCUGACAAAAUGAUAUUUUUCUCCUUCACUGAAAGAAUGCAGCAAUAUACCUCAAAUAGUUGCCAUUCCCUAUCAACUUCCUUUUUUUUUUCCCCCAGCUCUCUUGGUUCAGAGUAACCCAGAUUGGGUAUCUGAAAUUUGCUUUCUAGUUUUUAGAAUUUUUGUCUUUGUUGUGAAUAUAAUUUAUUAAAUGAAGAUAAAACCUUUAUAUUCAGACUUUUUGGGCAAUCUUUCGUUGGAAAGAACAGUAUGAUAUGGAUCAUAAAAUUAAAUGAGAGGCAUCAUGAACUUGGAAUCAGCAUACCUGAAUUUAAAUCAUGUCUCAGGAACUUCCUGGUUGUAUGACCCUAGGCAAGACACUCAACCUCUUUGACCAUUAGUUUUGAUAUCUGUAAAAUGAAGUAGUUGGACUCUUUAUUCUUUGAGAUUCAUCAUUUUGCAAUGAAAUAAAAAGUUAUGAGGUCAUGCUUGUUGUUUUUUGGGCUCCAUUUUAAUUUUUGUUCACUAUCACUUGGUUUUAUUUAAUUUGGUAUUCAUAUGUUUUUGUCAUUUGAACAUUUGAACUGUACUUUUUUUUUGUUAAGACAAGUUGAAUUGGAACAUUUAUUCUUCUCUAUUAUAUAUGUUCUAAUUAUGAUAGUGACAAAGAUACUAUUACAUUAAUCCAGAUCUGUUAGUUGAUCAAGAUGCCCCAGUGGAAGCUCUGCUGACUGGAAUUAUUGAAGUUGCAGCAUUGGAUAUGACUUAUCCUGAACUCUUGCCAAGGUAAAAAACAAAGAAGUUGUUCCUGCAAAUUUAUUUUAAAGAUAAAAAAUAGAAGCAAAAUUCCCUGUCCUUGUUUAAAGAUACUGACUGGGGUUCUGUGAUAUCUGAAUUGUUUCUUUCUGUCUGUUUGAAGUAUUUUUUUGUUGGCCUGGUAGCUCUUGAACUUGGCUAAUAACAUGCCUGGGAGUUGUUAUAUGGGAAUUUAUUGCAGGUGAUGAUUUGUGGAUUCUUUCAAUCUCUAGUUUACCCUCUUGUUCAAGAACAUCAGGGCAGUUUUCUUGGAUUAUUUCUUGUAAUAUGAUGACAAGGUUUUUUUUUGUUUUUGUUUGUUUUUUGUUUUUUGUUUUUUGGCCAUGAAUUUCAGGUUGUCCAAUCAUUCUCAACCUCUCUCUCCUAAAUCUAUUUUCUAGGUCAGUUAUUUUUUUCAAUGAGAUAGUUCAUAUCCCCCCCACCCCCCUUCUUUUGAUUUUGUUUUAUUGUUUCUUUAUGUCUCUUGAAAUCAUUAGCUUCUAUUUACGUAAUUGUAAUUUUUAGACUGAAUUUCUUCUAUGAUCUUUUGAUCUUUCUUUUCUAUUUGGUCCAUUCUACUUUCCAUGGCACUCUUUUCUUUAUUAGAUUUUUUUUUUGGUCUCUUUUCCCAGUAGGUCAAUCCUAUUUUUUAAAGAGAUCUUUUCCUUCAUUGGAUUUUUGUGUUUCUUUUUUCGGUUGACCAAUUUUGCCUUUUAAGCUGUUAUUCUAACUUUGCAUUACCUCCAUUUCUUUUCCCAAUUUUUCUUCCCUUUUUCUUCAACUUGUCUUAUUUGUAUUUUUGAAUUCCUUUUUAAAUUCUUCCAGAUUUUUUUUUUUUUUUGGUUUUGUUAUAUUUUCAAGUUUUGCAUGUGGUUGCUUGGAUCUCAUCAUCUCCUGUUGAUUCUAUUCUUUGUUCUUUUUCUCCAUAGAAAUUUUCCAGGGUUAAAUGUUUCUUUUGCUGUUUGCUCAUCUUCCCAGCCUUUGUCUGUGGACUGGGAACUUAUCUGUUUGCUGACUUUUGCCCUGCGGCUAAGUCUUCAAUGCAGCUAGCCACAGAGGCUUGAAGAGGUCAAGUCAGAUUACUUUGGGACCUCACUGUAGGCUGAAGCCUGAUACCUCAAGGGGUGGAUUUGAGGUGCUCCCAUGCUGGUGAAGUCCACAUCCUGGGUUCCUGAAAUUGAUGUGCACAUAGGUUCUGAAUCUGGCUUGGUAGGCAGAGUAAUAGUCCACCAGCACUCCCCUGUUUGCAAUUUUGCUUCUACUUCCCCCUUAUCCCAUGAAAAUCAACUCUGCUUACCUUUCAAGUUGUGUUCAGUGGGAGAACCUCCUCACUUGUCCUACUUUGAUUCCUGUCAUUUUGAAGUGCCUUCUAAAGACUGUUUUGGAAGGAUAGUCAGAGCAGUUUCAGCUUUUUCUGCUACUAAGCCACCAUCUUGGUUCUGAUCCCUAUCUCCAUUUUGGACAAAACUAAUGUAUAUAUAUAUUUCUAAUUUGUGAUUAAUGUCAGUAAUGAAAAGAAAUGAGUUGGAAUCAUAUACCAAUUGAGUAUGAAGUAUGUCAAUUUGAAGUUAAUCUUUAUAUGGAAGCUAAAACUGUUUGAUUCCUGUAUAAUAUAUAAUAACAUGAUAUGAUAUAAUAUAAUAUAUUAUUCCUGUAUUAAAUAGUAGGAGGGGGCCAGGUUAUAAAGGACUUUUAAUUCCAAGUAGAAUAUUUUGUAUUUGAUCUUAGAAGUGACAGGGAGCCACUGGAGUUUGAGUAGAGAGAAAGCUUUCUUCUUCCAUUAUUUUUAAUAGUCUACAUUCCAAGCUACUGACAAACAUCUGCUGUUAGGCAGAAGUUUAUCUCUUGUCCAAUUCCAGAGAUCAUCUCCUAUCUUUCUUAAAAUACUAUAAAACCUGUAAUCUACUCCACCUCCCUUAUGCUUGAUCUUCUUCCAACCUCAACAUAUUGUGUCUUUGUUUUCUUGCUUUUGAAGGAAAUAAACAUUUUGCUGAGAA